GAAAAUUGGCUUCUUUUUAAUCAUCUGCCAAUAGAGACUUCUGGAGGAAGACCAAAAGAAAGGGGAGAAAAUGGAGGUGUAUCCCUUCCUGUUUGCUCUAUAUGCCUGUUUUUGCUUCUUGUGCUUGUGAGUGUCACUGGUGCAAUGGUUCUUCAUGAAGAGAUAAGGGACCAGAGCCUCAAGUCAUUUAAGAACAAGUCUGCCUGCCUGGAAAGCACAUUGUACCUACCAGGAUUCCAAAUAGGCCUCAUAGACUCCAAAAGCCCAAAGUAUUCUAUAUAUUGCAUAGUUGAGAGACACAAUGUCAGGUGUUGGAGUGAAGGCAGCAAUGAUUUGGCAGAGCAGUCCCAGCCUCCGAAAUGGUGAAAAUUAUGGAGAAGUAAGGAACCCUGAAGCCAGCGCUGCACUAAGAGUCCUUGUUUUGAACCUAGUUGUCAUUCGCUAGUAGUCAUUUUGAGUAAUUCAUAGAGCCUCUUUGAUACUACCUCCUUAUAUGAAAAAAAAUAGAGAGACUACAGGAACUUUUAUAUUGUUGUAAGAAUCCUACAUGCAAACAAAUGAAAGUGUUUUAUACAACUGAAAAAUGUAAUAUGCAAAUAGCAAUUAGUUUUAGUAUAAGAAAUAAACAUUGUCAUAAUAAUAAAUAAUAAGAAAUAAAC
rnacentral:lncRNA from 1 species